rnacentral:rRNA from 1 species
GACGCUGGCGGCAUGCCUACACAUGCAAGUCGAACGAACCCUUCGGGGUUAGUGGCGCACGGGUGCGUAACGCGUGGGAACCUGCCUUUAGGUUCGGAAUAACUCAGAGAAAUUUGAGCUAAUACCGGAUAAUGUCUUCGGACCAAAGAUUUAUCGCCUUUAGAUGGGCCCGCGUUAGAUUAGAUAGUUGGUGGGGUAAUGGCCUACCAAGUCGACGAUCUAUAGCUGGUCUGAGAGGAUGAUCAGCCACACUGGGACUGAGACACGGCCCAGACUCCUACGGGAGGCAGCAGUGGGGAAUAUUGGACAAUGGGCGAAAGCCUGAUCCAGCAAUGCCGCGUGAGUGAUGAAGGCCUUAGGGUUGAAAGCUCUUUUACCAGGGAUGAUAAUGACAGUCCUGGAGAAUAAGCUCCGGCUAACUCCGUGCCAGCAGCCGCGGUAUACG